rnacentral:rRNA from 1 species
UACGUAGGGGGCAAGCGUUGUCCGGAUUUAUUGUGCGUAAAGAGCGUGUAGGCGGCCAAACAGGUCAGCUGUGAAAACUCGAGGCUCAACCUCGAGACGUCGGUUGAAACCGUAUGGCUAGAGUCCGGAAGAGGAGAGUGGAAUUCCCGGUGUAGCGGUGAAAUGCGCAGAUAUCGGGAAGAACACCCGUGGCGAAGGCGGCUCUCUGGGACGGUACUGACGCUGAGACGCGAAAGCGUGGGGAGCAAACAGG